GCCGCAGUAGCUCAGCUGGUUAGAGCAUCCGCCUGUCACGCGGAAGGCCGAGGGUUCGAGUCCCUUCUGCGGCG
rnacentral:tRNA from 1 species